rnacentral:rRNA from 1 species
GAUGAACGCUGGCGGCGUGCUUAACACAUGCAAGUCGAACGGUGAAGCAGGAGCUUGCUCCUGUGGAUCAGUGGCGAACGGGUGAGUAACACGUGAGCAAUCUGCCCUGGACUCUGGGAUAAGCGUUGGAAACGACGUCUAAUACCGGAUACGAGGCGUGGGGGCAUCCCCAACGCCUGUAAAGAACUUCGGUCCAGGAUGAGCUCGCGGCCUAUCAGGUAGUUGGGGAGGUAACGGCUCACCAAGCCUACGACGGGUAGCCGGCCUGAGAGGGUGACCGGACACACUGGGACUGGGACACGGCCCAGACGCCUACGGGAGGCAGCAGUGGGGAAUAUUGCACAAUGGGCGCAAGCCUGAUGCAGCAACGCCGCGUGAGGGACGACGGCCUUCGGGUUGUAAACCUCUUUUAGCAGGGAAGAAGCGAAAGUGACGGUACCUGCAGAAAAAGCACCGGCUAACUACGUGCCAGCAGCCGCCGUAACAC